AGCACCUUUAAAUUAGUCCUGUGAGGCUAACAAGGGGAACGGUUAUCAGGAAGUCUCCCACGCUUUUCGCAGGAAAAGGUGGAGACUUUUUUCGU
rfam:Lactobacillus fabifermentans T30PCM01 genomic scaffold scaffold53, whole genome shotgun sequence.